rnacentral:rRNA from 1 species
AGCGAACGCUGGCGGCAGGCCUAACACAUGCAAGUCGAACGAAGUCUUCGGACUUAGUGGCGGACGGGUGAGUAACACGUGGGAACGUGCCCUUUGGUACGGAAUAACUCAGGGAAACUUGAGCUAAUACCGUAUGUGCCCUUCGGGGGAAAGAUUUGUCGCCAUUGCAGCGGCCCGCGUCUGAUUAGCUAGUUGGUGAGGUAAAGGCUCACCAAGGCGACGAUCAGUAGCUGGCCUGCGAGGGUGACCGGCCACACUGGGACUGAGACACGGCCCAGACUCCUACGGGAGGCAGCAGUGGGGAAUAUUGCACAAUGGGCGCAAGCCUGAUGCAGCAACGCCGCGUGCGGGAUGACGGCCUUCGGGUUGUAAACCGCUUUUAGUAAGGAGAAGCCGCAAGGUGACGGUACUUGCAGAAAAAGGACCGGCUAACUACGUGCCAGCAGCCGCGGUAACAC